rnacentral:rRNA from 1 species
UCCUACGGGAGGCAGCAGUGGGGAAUUUUGGACAAUGGGGGCAAGCCUGAUCCAGCCAUCCCGCGUGCAGGAUGAAGGCCUUCGGGUUGUAAAGCACUUUUAACAGGAAAGAAGAGUCUUCUGGUUAAUACUGGGGUAAUGACGUACCGCAGAU